rnacentral:ncRNA from 1 species
UGAUGCAUGAGCGGGUGUUCGAUAGCGAGCUUCUGUCUGCCAACCCAUUGAUCUUUGAUCAUGGACAUUGGUGUCAGAACUGUAUCGCCUCGCUAUCGUUCUGAGAUUAGACCGCCUGAACUUGAUUUCUGGAUAAUACCAGCGAAAGGAUCAUGCAUACCGAACCA